AAAAUUAUAUGCUUUGUCCAUUUGUCAGAGAAAAAUAAUUAAUGGUAAAUACUAGGCCUUCUUUUUCAAUUCUGUAUGAAAUUUCUCUUGAUAACACUUGAUAGAAUUCUACUCACAACAACACUCAGCCAAAUACACUUCUUUCUAUAGUGCCAAGUGUUCAAAAACACACAGCAUUCAAAUAAUGUAGUUUCCAUGUAAUUAGGAUAUCAUUUUCAGUUUGAUAAUCUCGCAUAGAAAAGUCUUCAGUGGAAGAAAAGAGAAAUACCUAAAAAGAAACAGUUGACUUAAAUGAUGAUGAUUACUACUGAAUGAACCGGUUCCCUAAAACAUAGUGGAAUAGGCUGUCAAUGCCUGAAUGUGACUGAGAUGUGCACAUCUGGGAACAGAAGGAAAACUCUGCUGGCAACACAACAGUGAUCCGACCAGGCAGGAUAAUCAAUCCUUUCAUUACAUAUCCCACCUCCUGACCCCUGUUUAUCAUCCACGUUCCCCAACAGGCUUCUGUGCCAUCCACUUACUCCUUCUUUAAAAUUUUUCAUUUAGAAAUUACUCAUACAAGGAAGUAUUUUAAAAUAUGUGCAGUUUGAAGAAUAAAAGAAACACCAGAGAAACCACCACCUCGCCUCAGAAAGAGCAGAAGCUCCUUGGAUAGGCCCCCUCCUGCUGGCUCCCGCCACCACCGCCAGUGUCCUUAAUCCUGUGGUAACCAUCUCCCCGUUUUUGUCUUCAUACCGUUGGGUCCUGUGUAUGUGCAUUCCUUAAAAACACGUUGCUCUGUGCUGCCGGUUUUUGAGCUUUACAGAAAUGGAGUCAUUCUCCAAGUAUUCUUUGAACCACAGAUAUAUAGAUCUGUCAGUGAACUCGUAUUCAGCACAUAUGAAGAACUCUAUAACACUUCAGUAAGAAUGCUGAAAUAAACCAACUCACUAAGAAAUGGGCAAAGGAACUGAACAGACACUUUGUGAAAGAAGAUAUCAUUGGUCAAUAGGCACAUUAAAAGGUGCUUACAUCAGGAAAAUGCAAACUUAAACUUUGUGAGAUGCCACUAACAAACCCACUGGAAUGACACAAAUUUUAUAAGAUGGACAAUACCAGGUGUAGAAAACUUGGAAUUCUCAUAUACUGCUGGUGGAAAUGUAAACUCUUCACUUUGGAUAACAGUUGUGCUGUUUCUAAUAAAGUUAAACAUACAUUUA